rnacentral:rRNA from 1 species
AUUGAACGCUGGCGGCAGGCCUAACACAUGCAAGUCGAACGAGUGGCGGACGGGUGAGUAAUGUCUGGGAAACUGCCCGAUUGAGGGGGAUAACUACUGGAAACGGUAGCUAAUACCGCAUACCAUCGGAUGUCCCCGGAUGGGAUUAGCUAGUGGGUGGGGUAACGGCUCACCUAGGCGACGAUCCCUAGCUGGUCUGAGUUGAUGACAAGCCACACUGGAACUGAGACACGGUCCAGACUCCUACGGGAGGCAGCAGUGGGGAAUAUUGCACAAUGGAAGAAAGCCUGAUGCAGCCAUGCCGCGUGUAUGAAGAAGGCCUUCGGGUUGUAAAGUACUUUCAGCGAGGAGGCGUUACUCGCAGAAGAAGCACCGGCUAACUCCGUGCCAGCAGCCGCGGUAAUAC